rnacentral:rRNA from 1 species
CACAUGCUUUGCUGACGAGUGGCGGACGGGUGAGUAAUGUCUGGGAAACUGCCUGAUGGAGGGGGAUAACUACUGGAAACGGUAGCUAAUACCGCAUAACGUCGCAAGACCAAAGAGGGGGACCUUCGGGCCUCUUGCCAUCGGAUGUGCCCAGAUGGGAUUAGCUAGUAGGUGGGGUAACGGCUCACCUAGGCGACGAUCCCUAGCUGGUCUGAGAGGAUGACCAGCCACACUGGAACUGAGACACGGUCCAGACUCCUACGGGAGGCAGCAGUGGGGAAUAUUGCACAAUGGGCGCAAGCCUGAUGCAGCCAUGCCGCGUGUAUGAAGAAGGCCUUCGGGUUGUAAAGUACUUUCAGCGGGGAGGAAGGCGUUGAGGUUAAUAACCUUGUCGAUUGACGUUACCCGCAGAAGAAGCACCGGCUAACUCCGUGCCAGCAGCCGCGGUAAUACGGAGGGUGCAAGCGUUAAUCGGAAUUACUGGGCGUAAAGCGCACGCAGGCGGUCUGUCAAGUCGGAUGUGAAAUCCCCGGGCUCAACCUGGGAACUGCAUUCGAAACUGGCAGGCUAGAGUCUUGUA